CAGGAAAGCUGUACCUGCAGGGAGUCAGUUAUGUUCAUACUAUGAAAACACCAGGAAAUAAUAACUGUAGACUUAUGUGUUCAGUAAACUUUGCCAAACUGCCUGAUAUUUUUCCCUCCAAAACAAAUACAAACUUUUUAUUCUCCAGGUUCCUGUCUUGUCUCGGCUUCCCUGCUUCACCCGUUACUCUCAUACAAAUGGGCCAGGAAGGAUCUCCACCUUCUGUUAAGUUCAGUAGAAGACCCAGCUGCCCGGAUCCACUCCUGUCCUGCCCGCCGAGUCCCGAACCCCUCAGCGACCUUGCCCGGAAUGCCCCCCGUUCCGUGUCCCUCUCUGAUUCCCCUGCUUGGUCCCUGCCUGCAUCGUGUCACCUCUAGCCUUCCCCAGUACCGCCGACGUCCACGGCUCCCAGGCUCCGGGGAUCCAAUCCCCAGAAUCACUUCCGGCUCUCCGCUCCCCCCACGAUCCCUCCUCCAGUCUGUAAAUAAAAACCCAGUCUGUACCAGCUUCAGCCAUGUGCUCUCUGCUUGGAUUCAUCCGUCAGUCUGUGACACAUUCAGUUUUUUGCACACUUAAUUGUCUGCCAAAUUCAAUUUGAGUUAAUAAAAUUGUCCUUUCUCCAUGAAUUUACAUUAAAUAAACACAUUUUAACAAAGUAAAAACAUAUUUUUAUACAGUUUUGAAAUUUUUUGCAAACCUACAACUGAAGAUUUUCAUUUACAAAUGUAUUCUGACGUUUGCUGUGGCAGAUGCAUGCAAUGUUUUAAUUAUUCUUGAAAUGUGUCUCUAGAUGUGUCAAAGAUUAGUUAAGCAAGAAGUGUGUUGGUCAGAGAGAUGAUAAAGACUCAGACGUUGUAGAGAUGGGAAAAACGUUCUUUAUUUCUUAAUUUGAUUUUCAUUUCAGUCCCAUUGAGAUCUAAAAUUUCUUUUACAGAAGAACCUGGCUAAUGCAGCCACUGUGUAAAAACUCAUUAAAAAAUCCACCCUUAAACACAGCGGCUUGUCAAGAUGAACAACUACAUGAUUCUUUCACUACAUUCGUGAUGAUGCCCUCAUAUUCUUCAGUAACUAUUUGUUUUAAUUUUAGAUCUUUUAGAUUUUAGAUGUCAUGUCCAAGGUGGAUAGCAGGAGACAGUUCUCUCCAGAUCUUUCUGAACACAGGAAAAAUGUAGAUAUUCCAUUAAAAAUCAGCUGUUUCCAGCUAGAAUAGUCAUUUGCCACAUUAACAAUGUCUAGACUGUAUUUAGGAUUCAUUUAAUGUUACCUUCAUUGAAAAAACUGCUUUUCUUUCAAAAAUAAGGACAUUUCUAAGUGAUCCCAAACUUUUGAAUGACAGUGUAGUCCAUAGGCUACUUAAUAAAUACAUCACCAAAUGAAAGUAAAGUACAAUAUAUUUUCUAUAAUAUAUUGUCUAUAAUCCAGUGUGGUAUUGAUGAUAAAUUACUGCAUGACGUGAUGAAAUAUAGAACACGCUCAUGUUACAGUGCAACAACAAGCGUAAAACAUAGAGAUGGAAAAAUCUAAAUAUUUAUUCAUUUUUUAAUUUUUGUUCAACAAUGCUAUUCUGACACAACAAUGCACACGUGCUUGAUCAGUGAACUUACUUCUUGGUACUGAAAAUAAAGAUAGAUGUAUUUCUAAAAUAUAGCCCAUUCUUCACUUUCAGCUUUCUAUCGAGAUUAGUAAUACGUACAUUACAGACUGAAAAUCACUUAAAGGUUCAAAGGUUCUUUAUUGUCAUAUCAUUCCACAUUUGCACAUGCAACAAUACGAAAUUGGACCCUGGUCCUGGUUUCAGCCAUAAGACAAUAUAAAAACUUCCAUAAAAGACAAUAUAAGUAUAAAAAGACACUACUAAUACAUACAAACCUACAACAUAAAUAGAUGUGCAAUGAGACCAUCAGUUAGUGCGAUACAGACAGGAACUCUGGCUCUGAAGUAGUGGUUGACCGUAGAUAAAUAAAUAAAGAGCCUAGUGCAGUAGUGCAGUGUGUGUAUGAAUGUGUGUGCCUGUUUGCGUGUGCGUGUGUAUGCCUGUGUGUGUAUGUGGGGAUGUGUGCAUGCAUGUGUGUUUGCAGGGAGAGGUGGUGAUGAUCGAAAACAGAGUCUACAGAGACCUGCUACAGUUCAACAGCCUGACAGCUUCAUGGAAGAAGCUGUUUCUUAGUCUUGUGGUUCGAGUCCGGAUGCUGCGCAACCUUCUCCCUGAAAGGAGAAGGUUGAAGUGUUUGUGUGCAGGGUGGGUGAAGUCCUUCAGGAUGGAGGUGGCCCUCCUCCUGCAUCUGUUGGUGUAAAUGUUACGGGGGUAGUGGGGACUGAGUUUAUUGUCUGUUUUGAUAUUUUUCUUUUCUGUAUUCAUUGCAUGGUUUGGGAUUUAUAUUGUUGGUGUUUUGAUUAUAUUGCAUGUUUUCUUUAUUGUUAUAAGAAUUUUCUAUUGAGUUUUGAGUUUCCCACUACCCGUAAACGCCUCUGAUGAGGCAAUAGGCUGCACCUGUUUGGGUUCUCCCUUCCUUCCACAGGAGCCAAUGGUAGCGGGGCUGGAGGCGCCGGCGGCUGGUGGAGAGAACUAUUUAGGAGUCAAUGGAGGACAACAACAGGGCGUCCGGGAUAAGCACUGGAGAGGGUGGCCCAGCGGAGAGGGACGACGCGGAGGACAGAGGCAGACGGUGACGCCGAGAGAGAAAGCCGGAGAAGAAACCAUAGCGCUACGACGUGACAUACUCGCAGCGGCAGGGCAAUUAAGCUCUGCCUGGCGGGUGAGUAUCCCUCGGGGACUCUGUAGUAGCGUUUUGGUGUUUGCACGUUAUCGUGAUUGUGGCUUUGAGAAAGAGACUUCCGUACUGGCAGUGGAUCUGUGUCUUUUAGGUGGUUUCCCCCCGGACAUGAGCCAGGCUUAGGAGGAAGUUGGACGGAUCCCGUGACGGCCGAAUUGAGUGCCCCGCGUCCCACGGCCCCCGAGACGAUUCAGACGGUGGAUUUUAAUGAGGGAUUUUACCUUUUAAGCGGAUUUUAACGAAGGACUGAGGUGACGUUGGAUUGUUUCCCCUGCUGGCUGCAGGCCCGAGGAGUGUAACGUAGGAGUUUAACCUGUACUGUAUGAGAAGAAAUUCAUCUUGUAAUUAAAUGAUUGUUUGCCACCGGCA